GACGUAGGGCGCGAGCGUUGUCCGGAUUUAUUGGGCGUAAAGAGCUCGUAGGCGGCUCGUUGCGUCGGCUGUGAAAACCCGCAGCUCAACUGUGGGCUUGCAGCCGAUACGGGCGGGCUGGGAUUCGGUAGGGGAGACUGGAAUUCCCCAAGUAGAGGUGAAAUUCGUAGAUAUGGGGAGGAACACCGGUGGCGAAGGCGGCCACCUGGACGGAUACUGACGCUGAGACGCGAAAGCGUGGGUAGCAAACAGG
rnacentral:rRNA from 1 species